UACGUGGGGUGCGAGCGUUGUUCGGAAUCACUGGGCUUACAGGGUGCGUAGGCGGCUUGUUAAGUAGGGUGUGAAAGCCCCCGGCUCAACCGGGGAAUUGCGCCCUAAACUGGCGAGCUAGAGUGAGAUAGGGGUAUGUGGAACUUCCGGUGGAGCGGUGAAAUGUGUUGAUAUCGGAAGGAACGCCGGUGGCGAAAGCGACAUACUGGAUCUUGUCUGACGCUGAGGCACGAAAGCCAGGGGAGCGAACGGG
rnacentral:rRNA from 1 species